rnacentral:rRNA from 1 species
UAUCCUGCGCAGGACACGGCUGGCGGCGUGCCUAAUCAUGCAAGUCGAGCGGAUCUUCGGGAGCUUGCUCCCGAAGAUUAGCGGCGGACGGGUGAGUAACACUGGGCAACCUGCCCUGUAAGAUCGGGAUAACUCCGGAAACCGGGGCUAAUACCGAAUAAUGCAUUUCCUCUCAUGAGGAAAUGCUGAAAGAUGGUUUCGGCUGUCACUUACAGAUGGGCCCGCGGCGCAUUAGCUAGUUGGUGAGGUAACGGCUCACCAAGGCCACGAUGCGUAGCCGACCUGAGAGGGUGAUCGGCCACACUGGGACUGAGACACGGCCCAGACUCCUACGGGAGGCAGCAGUAGGGAAUCUUCCGCAAUGGACGAAAGUCUGACGGAGCAACGCCGCGUGAGCGAUGAAGGCCUUCGGGUCGUAAAGCUCUGUUGUUAGGGAAGAAUAAGUAUCGGAGUAACUGCCGGUACCUUGACGGUACCUAACCAGAAAGCCACGGCUAACUACGUG